rnacentral:rRNA from 1 species
GAUGAACGCUGGCGGCGUGCCUAAUACAUGCAAGUCGAGCGAACAGACGAGGAGCUUGCUCCUCUGACGUUAGCGGCGGACGGGUGAGUAACACGUGGAUAACCUACCUAUAAGACUGGGAUAACUUCGGGAAACCGGAGCUAAUACCGGAUAAUAUAUUGAACCGCAUGGUUCAAUAGUGAAAGACGGUUUUGCUGUCACUUAUAGAUGGAUCCGCGCCGCAUUAGCUAGUUGGUAAGGUAACGGCUUACCAAGGCGACGAUGCGUAGCCGACCUGAGAGGGUGAUCGGCCACACUGGAACUGAGACACGGUCCAGACUCCUACGGGAGGCAGCAGUAGGGAAUCUUCCGCAAUGGGCGAAAGCCUGACGGAGCAACGCCGCGUGAGUGAUGAAGGUCUUCGGAUCGUAAAACUCUGUUAUUAGGGAAGAACAAAUGUGUAAGUAACUAUGCACGUCUGGACGGUACCUAAUCAGAAGGCCACGGCUAACUACGUG